rnacentral:tRNA from 1 species
GCCUGGGUGGCUCAGUCGGUUAAGUGUCUGACUUCAGCUCAGGUCAUGAUCUCACAGUUCGUGAGUUCGAGCCCCAUGUCGGGCU